GCUUGAUGUUCUCACCUGAAUUUGUAGUCAAAGAAAUGUUGAUCCCCCUUUUUUUAUUAUUUAGAUAAUUUUCUACAUGCAUUUUCUAUGCACAUGCCAAAUUUCAACAAAAAAUAAAGCUCCGCAGAUAGUUUAAUUAGUGUAGAACUUUUGGUACCUAAUUUUGGCUUUUCUGUUGUUUGUUUGUUGUUGUUUUUUUCGUUAAGCGAAAUACGGGGGCGGAUAGGGGGGCCGACUCUACAGAAAAAUAAUAAAAAUUCUAAUAUUGUAUUAUUUUGAUUUUUAUUAUUAGAUUAAAAUAAAAAAUGAACUCUGCAGACAGAACUUUACUUGACUCUCUAACAGUUCGAUCUACCCAGCCUAUCACUGCAACAUCUUCAUCUACAAUGAAUGCUCUAGUUCCAUCCUCAACUGCAUUGGGUGUUACAUCUUCAGCUGCUACAAGUGGAUUUAUGGGUCCAAAAAAAAGUGGAGUUAUGUUUUCGGAUGCACUGAAAAAAGUGUAAUGUGGUUGGAGAAGACUGGGGGGUUGGGGAGAGGGCGUUGUGCGGUGCACACAUCCCAGCCAUAAAGUCAAUAUAUACAACACUUUUAAAUGCUGUAAAGUAAGAAAAUAAAAUUUAAACUUUUUAACACAUUAUAUAAUCAGUGUUUUUUGGGUUAAAGUAUUUAAAAGAAUGGAACAUUACACUACGAGGGUGUUAAAACGUAACAAAGACAUCGACCCUUUAUUCUAAAAUAGACCACUAAUAUUUGGAAAUGGAAUGGAAGCAAAUUGGAACAACUUUUUGUGUAUAAAGGUGACAUAUUUUAUCAGAAAAACACUCUUUCGUGUAAAAAACUUGUAUUUUUUUUAAGGUUACGAGGGUGUUCCAUACCCCCUCCGGCCCUCUAGACACCCUUUUAUCUAUAGAGUUAUAUAAACUUGUAGCCUACUCUUACAUCUAUCUUUUGAUACCAAGGUAUAGACAUUUAUAUAAGAUUUGACAAAGUUAUAACAAUUUCAGUGAAAAAAAAAAAAAUUUUGGAACCAGUUU